GGAUUAAGAGCUAUGCUCUUAUGAAGUUAGCGGCGGACGGGUGAGUAACACGUGGGUAACCUGCCCAUAAGACUGGGAUAACUCCGGGAAACCGGGGCUAAUACCGGAUAACAUUUUGAACCGCAUGGUUCGAAAUUGAAAGGCGGCUUCGGCUGUCACUUAUGGAUGGACCCGCGUCGCAUUAGCUAGUUGGUGAGGUAACGGCUCACCAAGGCAACGAUGCGUAGCCGACCUGAGAGGGUGAUCGGCCACACUGGGACUGAGACACGGCCCAGACUCCUACGGGAGGCAGCAGUAGGGAAUCUUCCGCAAUGGACGAAAGUCUGACGGAGCAACGCCGCGUGAGUGAUGAAGGCUUUCGGGUCGUAAAACUCUGUUGUUAGGGAAGAACAAGUGCUAGUUGAAUAAGCUGGCACCUUGACGGUACCUAACCAGAAAGCCACGGCUAACUACGUGCCAGCAGCCGCGGUAAUACGUAGGUGGCAAGCGUUAUCCGGAAUUAUUGGGCGUAAAGCGCGCGCAGGUGGUUUCUUAAGUCUGAUGUGAAAGCCCACGGCUCAACCGUGGAGGGUCAUUGGAAACUGGGAGACUUGAGUGCAGAAAGAGGAAAGUGGAAUUCCAUGUGUACGGUGAAAUGCGUAAGAUAUGGAGGAACACCAGUGGCGAAAGCGACUUUCUGGUCUGUAACUGACACUGAGCGCGAAAGCGUGG
rnacentral:rRNA from 1 species